GGGCGGUUAGCUCAGUGGUCCAGAGCGCCUCGUUUACACCGAGGAGGUCGGAGGUUCAAAUCCUCCACUGCCCA
rnacentral:tRNA from 1 species